GGAAAUUUUUGUUUUUUCAGUGUGAGAGAUAUACAAGAAAUAAAAAGAAAUACUGAGGAAAAAUUUCUUGAAGGUGAAUUGGGUUUUUACAUUUUCUAUUCUUUUUAUUAUUAUUUUAUUUUGUUUUCUAAAGAAACAGUAUAAAAGAGGAGAGGGAUAAUACCUUCGAGGAUUCGCCGUUGAACCACGUUCGCCUUGCUCAGAUCGGAGUUUGGCGGUGCGCUGGGAAUUGGCUCGCCUGAGAAUGGCGGCAGUGGGGGUUGGGGGUUAAAAAAC
rnacentral:lncRNA from 1 species